UGUACUCAUUCAUUAUAAGGUGCAUUCAAUUUCAGUACACAUAAUAUUUUAAUUAUCUUAAUUGUGUGUCUGAACAUUAUACUGAUGUGACCAUUAUCAUAUCCUAUUGCUUACAUUUGUAGUUUUUGUUAUAGAAUUUGUGAUUGGUGCAUAAUUUUAAUACUAAAUAUUUAUACAUUGUGAUCAAAUUGAUUUGAAUCCAUAAUUGCAUUAUGGCAGAUUUUACAAUAAGAAGGAAUUAUUGUUUUUUGUAUCCAUCAAAAAAGCAAUUGCUGAAACUGUGAAACAGACUGUGUAAUGG
rnacentral:lncRNA from 1 species